ensembl:Y_RNA Y_RNA Y RNA
GGUAGUCUGAGUGCAGUGGUAUUCACAACUAAUUGAUCAUAAGCAUUUACAGAUUUAUUUGCUCCUUCUCCACUCUUACUGCUUCGUUUGACUAGUCUUUU